rnacentral:tRNA from 1 species
UCCCAUGUAGUCUAUCGGUUAGGAUACUCCGCUUUCACCGGAGAGGGCCGGGUUCGAUUCCCGGCGUGGGAA